rnacentral:rRNA from 1 species
CCCUUAGAUGUUCUGGACCGCACGCGCGCUACACUGAUGCAUUCAACGAGUCUAAAACCUGCUCUGAUAGGGGUGGGUAAUCUUUUGAAUGUGCAUCGUGAUUGGGAUAGAUGAUUGCAAUUUUUCAUCUUCAACGAGGAAUGCCUAGUAAACGCAAGUCAUCAGCUUGCAUUGAUUACGUCCCUGCCCUUUGUACACACCGCCCGUCGCUCCUACCGAUUGAAUGAUCCGAUGAAUAUCAUGGAUUGAGGAUGUAAGCAGGUUCGCCUGUCUUCAUCUUCGAGAAGUGAAGUAAAUCUUAUCAUUUAGAGGAAGGAGAAGUCGUAACA